rnacentral:lncRNA from 1 species
CCUUAAUUAGCGAAAAACAAUGAAAGCCAUCGCUUUCUCAAUCCAAUUUGGUUUUGGCUGUAUAUAAACUGCAAUCAUAGUACAGUACAUAAAAAAAAUUUGUUUAGCUAGCCGCAAACCUACAUAAACCACAAGCAGAUUCUCAUAUAUAUCCAAACAUUUUCAGUACCAUGUAUGUGUAUACUCCAUACUAUACCUAGCUAGUUCUUUGUCACCAU